UACGUAGGGAGCAAGCGUUGUCCGGAAUCAUUGGGCGUAAAGCGCGCGUAGGCGGCCCCGUAAGUCCGCUGUGAAAGUCAAAGGCUCAACCUUUGAAAGCCGGUGGAUACUGUGGGGCUAGAGUCCGGAAGAGGCGAGUGGAAUUCCUGGUGUAGCGGUGAAAUGCGCAGAUAUCAGGAGGAACACCAAUGGCGAAGGCAGCUCGCUGGGACGGUACUGACGCUGAGGUGCGAAAGCGUGGGGAGCAAACAGG
rnacentral:rRNA from 1 species